rnacentral:rRNA from 1 species
CCUACGGGCGGCAGCAGUGAGGAAUAUUGGUCAAUGGACGAGAGUCUGAACCAGCCCAGUAGCGUGAAGGAUGACUGCCCUAUGGGUUGUAAACUUCUUUUAUAUUGGAAUAAAAUGUUCCACGUGUGGGAUUUUGUAUGUACCAUAUGAAUAAGGAUCGGCUAACUCCGUGCCAGCAGCCGCGGUAAUACGGAGGAUCCGAGCGUUAUCCGGAUUUAUUGGGUUUAAAGGGAGCGUAGGUGGAUUGUUAAGUCAGUUGUGAAAGUUUGCGGCUCAACCGUAAAAUUGCAGUUGAAACUGGCAGUCUUGAGUACAGUAGAGGUGGGCGGAAUUCGUGGUGUAGCGGUGAAAUGCUUAGAUAGCACGAAGAACUCCGAUUGCGAAGGCAGUUCACUGGACUGCAACUGACACUGAGGCUCGAAAGUGUGGGUAUCAAACAGGAUUAGAUACCCUUGUAGUC